rnacentral:rRNA from 1 species
UGCGUAGGGGGCAAGCGUUGUCCGGAUUUAUUGGGCGUAAAGAGCGUGUAGGCGGCCAAGCAGGUCCGCUGUGAAAACUCGAGGCUCAACCUCGAGACGUCGGUGGAAAUCGUUUGGCUAGAGUCCGGAAGAGGAGAGUGGAAUUCCCGGUGUAGCGGUGAAAUGCGCAGAUAUCGGGAAGAACACCCGUGGCGAAGGCGGCUCUCUGGGACGGUACUGACGCUGAGACGCGAAAGCGUGGGGAGCGAACAGG